rnacentral:lncRNA from 1 species
UGAACACAUCCUUUUGACCCACAUUAUGUUACUGGUGGAAAUGCCUACUGAUUACUAGAAUCAAAUUUAAGACUUUCUACCAGCAUUUGGCUAUUUUUACCCUUAAAGUUGAUUGAGGAUUUCUUAAUUUGUUUUGUGUGUUUUAUUUUUUUCUUCUGUUUUCAAUAUUUCACAGUCUCCAGAGAGAAGCCAGAGCUACCAUUACAAGUGUGGGUACACCCUCUUGUCUGGGGAAGAAGGGGAAGGAAGGCUGUUUCGCCUUUUCCUGCUGUGAUGAAAACAGGGAGAGAUCUGCCAAAUCAGUACUGUAAAUCUCCAAGAGACCCUUCUCAAGAACAUUGCCAGCUGGGAUUGGAUAGGUGGGAUUAUGACAAUUUUGCAACAGCUCUGUUUCUGAUGAAGAAAAGUUCUCCCCUUUUGGUGGCCUGUAAGCACUACCUGAUCCUCUCACCUGAUGUUCAGCUUGUGCAUUUGUAACUGCUUUUCAGUGGUCAUAAAUCCUUUAUUAGAUAGUCAUUUAUAUACAGCUUAUAAAAAUAAGUAACAAAUGAAAUCAAAUAAAUGAAAAAAAGACACA